rnacentral:ribozyme from 1 species
CCCUGCCGCGGUAUGUACCUUGACGUGGUGGUAGGGCAACGAAAUCUGGUCGUCGUGUGGUGAACAACGACAAAGAACACUAUACUAUGACAACUGGAUGGACCAAACAUAC